rnacentral:rRNA from 1 species
AGUGAACGCUGGCGGUAGGCCUAACACAUGCAAGUCGAACGGCAGCACAGUAAGAGCUUGCUCUUACGGGUGGCGAGUGGCGGACGGGUGAGGAAUACAUCGGAAUCUACUUUUUCGUGGGGGAUAACGUAGGGAAACUUACGCUAAUACCGCAUACGACCUACGGGUGAAAGCAGGGGAUCUUCGGACCUUGCGCGAUUGAAUGAGCCGAUGUCGGAUUAGCUAGUUGGCGGGGUAAAGGCCCACCAAGGCGACGAUCCGUAGCUGGUCUGAGAGGAUGAUCAGCCACAUUGGAACUGAGACACGGUCCAGACUCCUACGGGAGGCAGCAGUGGGGAAUAUUGGACAAUGGGCGCAAGCCUGAUCCAGCCAUACCGCGUGGGUGAAGAAGGCCUUCGGGUUGUAAAGCCCUUUUGUUGGGUAAGAAAAGCAGCAGGUUAAUACCCCGCUGUUCUGACGGUACCCAAAGAAUAAGCACCGGCUAACUUCGUG